rnacentral:tRNA from 1 species
GGGUGAUUAGCUCAGCUGGUUAGAGCGCACGGUUCACAUCCGUGAGGUCACUGGUUCGAGUCCAGUAUCGCCCA